UUUUUAAAGCUUUUUCCAACAUAUUUGUCACUUUGUUUCAACAUUCUGUUAUCAUUUUUAUUCUUCAAAUGCUAGAAAAUUGCGUAAAACACCCACAUUCAAUGGAAGAAGUGAACUGAUCCUUUAUUUUACCUGUUAGGAGCGUUGCAUGGAACCAUCCACGUAAUUUUUUUUGGACAACAUGG